AGAAAUGAAGAGAUUACAGCUGCAUAGAGAUGCCUGUCAAAUGACAAGUGCCUGGAGAAAGCAUUUUGAUGAAUGAACAACAGAAUGAUCACAAAACAGCCUUUGGGGCCAGCAGUGUGAUCUGGGUUGAGACUCCACUGCUCUUGUGGGAUCCUGGAGUGUCUGAUGGGAUGGGAAUUACAGUGGAUCCUUCACGACAGGGGUUUGAAGGGCAUGGUCCACUUUGGUCCACCUCUGCCACUCUGAGACAGAAGCACCAACCCCUCUUCUUCCUCCUCCUCCUCAGUCUACUCAGUGUGAAGAUAACAAGAAUGAAGAACUUUAUGAUGAUGCAUUUCCACUUAACGAACAAUAAAUAUAUUUUCUUUUCCUUGUGA
ensembl:lncRNA novel transcript